GCCGGGGUAGCUCAGCUGGUAGAGCAGCUGAUUCGUAAUCAGCAGGUCAGGGGUUCGAGUCCCCCCCCCGGCUCCA
rnacentral:tRNA from 1 species